CACGUAGGGCGCAAGCGUUGUCCGGAAUUAUUGGGCGUAAAGAGCUCGUAGGUGGUUUGUUACGUCCGCUGUGAAAUCCUAGGGCUUAACCCUGGGCUUGCAGUGGAUACGGGCAGACUAGAGGUAGGUAGGGGAGAAUGGAAUUCCUGGUGUAGCGGGUGAAAUGCGACAGAUAUCAGGAGGAACACCGGUGGCGAAGGCGGUUCUCUGGGCCUUACCUGACACUGAGGAGCGAAAGCGUGGGGAGCGAACAGG
rnacentral:rRNA from 1 species